rnacentral:rRNA from 1 species
AAACACCACUCACUCGUCGCGUUCUCUUCUUGUUCUUCCUCCCCUCCUCCUCCUCCUUCCUUCCUUCCCUUCCUUCCUGUGUCUCCUCUCCUCCUCUCUCGUCGUGCUGCUGCUGCCGCUGGCUUGGGCUUGGGCUUGGGCUUGGGCUUGGGCGGGGCCUAGAUCCGGCGGUCCUCCGCCGCCGACGCCCUGCCGCCGCCGGCCUUAUCCGUUCAUCGCGCGCGCGGGGCAUCCUUAUCCUUAUCCUUAUCCUUAGGGCAGGGCAGGACCAGACCACAUGUGCCGUCAACCGUCGACACUUGAGCUGUCUCCAGAUGAGCAGCUUGCUGCUGAAGAAACCUUCAAGUUGUACUGCAAGCCAGUUGAGCUCUGCAAUGUUAUCCAAAAACGAGCCCUUGAUAAUCCCGCUUUUCUGCAAAGAUGCCUCCAUUACAUGAUACAGGCAAACCGCAAAAAGAGGAUUCAACUAACUGUAUCCCUUUCUCGAGGCACAAAUACUGACCACAACAUCUUCCCCCUUUAUGUUUUGUUAGCUACACCUACUAGUGAUAGCAUCCCACUUGAAGGGCAUUCUCCGAUAUAUCGAUUCAGUCGUGCCUGUUUGCUUACGUCAUUCACUGAAUUUGCUAGUAAAGACCACAACAAAGCCACAUUCACAAUUCCAGACGUCAAGAAUAUAGCAGCAACCUCCCGAGCUUGCAACCUCAGCAUUAUCCUUAUCCGCUGUGUUUCAGAUUCAGAAGGGCAGGUUGGAGAAAAUAACUGCUCUGGGGACCAUGUGGAAGCAUCUGCUCUCCGAAAGUUUGAAGGGAAAUGUUUCUGGGGUAAAAUACCAAUUAAUUUACUUGGUUCGUCGUUGGAGAAUUGCGUGACUUUAAAUUUGGGACAUACUGUGGAGUUGGCUUCUACAGUUACUAUGAACCCAAGCUUCUUAGAGCCAAAAUUUCUGGAGCAGGACAGUUGCUUGACAUUUUGCUCUCAUAAGAUUAAUGCUACGGGUUCAUAUCAACUCCAAGUUGGCAUAUCCGUUCAAGAGGCUGGUGCAAGAGACAUGUCUGAAUCUCCGUAUAAUAGUUACUCAUACAGUGAUGUCCCACCUUCAUCAUUACGUCAUAUUAUAAGGUUAAGAGCUGGUAAUGUGAUUUUCAACUUCAAGUACUACAACAAUACUAUGCAAAAGACUGAAGUCACCGAAGAUUUUGCUUGCGCCUUUUGCUUGGUAAAGUGUGGAAGCUACAAGGGCCUGGGGUGUCACUUGAACUCAACGCAUGACCUAUUCCACUUUGAGUUUUGGAUAUCUGAAGAAUGCCAGGCUGUUAAUGUUAGUCUGAAGGCUGAUGCCUGGAAAAUGGAGCUUGUGGGCAAGGGAGUUGAUCCAAGACAUCAAACAUUUUCCUACUGCUCAAGGCUUAAGAUGCGUCGUCGAAGGUCGCUAGCCACAGUUGAGAAUAUAAGCCCCGUACAUCCACAUAUCAUGGAUUCAGGUUCACCUGAAGAUGCCCAGGCAGGGUCGUCUAAAGACGAGUUUGUUCAGAGGGAAGAUGAUAAUAAUUCAGUAGCACCCGAUUCUGCCGAGCAUGAUCACUCAUUAAAUGGUAGCAAUCUUACACCACCGACAGUACUAGAGUUUGGGAAGACAAGGAAACUAUCUGCGGAGCGAAGUGAUCCCAGAAAGUAGCCCUUCUGUUUACAUACUUCGCUGAUAUCAUGCUAAGCAUUGUAUAUAUAGCUGUUUGUUUGUCCAGACAUUUACAAUAGAAAAAUGUUAAACCAACUGUUUUUAUGUGUAUAUUAUGUGGCAGCCGACAACUUCUGCAGAAACGUCAGUUCUUCCAUUCUCACAGGGCACAGGUGUGUGAGUGGGAAAUAAAUUUUGUUCAUCCUUAUGUCAUGUAUGGAACUAACAAGAGCACCGGGCAUCCAAAAAACAGAAUGUGAAUAUAAAAAUAUCUGAAUUUGAAUUUGAUGCUGAUUUCUAGUAGAUGAGAGGUCUAAAAUUUUCUAGGCUUUGACCUGCGACUCGUUGGAGCUUGGUGAGAAGUAGUACUCUUGUCUUCACUGUCAGCUUCUCUUGAGUUAAAAUAUGAUGAUCUGGUGUUUUAUAUAAAUACCAGACUAUGCCAGUUUUGCUAGCAUGAUGUCUGAAUUAUUUGUGUUCAGUUACAACUAGCAGGUGGCAAAUCAAAUACAGUUUUCUGCCAAGGUUUCACUUGUGCCAGCCAAUUUGAUGCCAAGGCUUCACUCCAAUGGCAGUGGAACAAGUUUUGUCAGAUCAUGACAGCGAGGAUGAAGUUGACGAUGACAUUGCCGACUUGGAAGAUAGACGGAUGCUUGCUGAUUUUCUUGAUGUCACGAAAGAUGAGAAGCUUAUUAUGCAUAUGUGGAAUUCAUUUAUUCGGAAACAAAGGGUGCUAGCUGAUGGGCAUAUACCUUGGGCCUGUGAGGGCUUCUCCCGGCUUCAUGGACCGCAGCUUGUACAAAACCCUCCUCUGCUCUGGUGCUGGCGUUUGGUGAUGAUUAAGCUGUGGAACCACAGCCUGCUGGAUGCGCGCGCCAUGAACACAUGCAACACCAUUCUUGAGGGAUACCAACCCAACAACAAGAUGUUUUAAUUCUCAUUUACUGAAAAUGUCGAUGUUUGCCGGAUAAUUCUUUCCUACCAAGUCGUUUCCCCUAAGAUAGAUAUUUGUCUUUUUUUUUAAAAGUUACUUCUCCAUACUUGUGAAUGUUUAGACUUUGCACUUGUCGUUCCCCUUUUAAAUUACAAAUUCUCCAAAGAAAUUGGUAAUCAAGUCACAAAGAAUGUGUUAGCUUUCCCCGACAUAUAAAGGGCGCUUUUCUUUUAUUGACUCAAGAUGUAGCAUCAAACAUAUUAAAUAAGCAACACACAGGCUCUGCAUAUCUAAGAUGCACUCGGUCAAAGCCAAACAAAAAGAUUUUUUUUUUGAUAUAUCAGCAACAUUAGUCAUAUGUCCAUCACUGUGCCUAUUCCUAUAUAAAAAAGUGUUCAUCGAUUUUCUUCAAAUAAUGUUCAUUGAAUUGAAAUUUUGUUUCAAAAAAUGUUUCGCAUAUUCAAAAAUUAUCAUCAAGUUAGCAAAAUGUUCAUUGAAUAUCCAAUUCUGAGCCCGAGCUUGCUCCCGGUCAAGAAACAAUUCAUAAAAAAUUAGAAAAAAUCCAAAAUUUUGUGCUAAGAUAAAUUGGUGCGUGAGGUGCGCUCCAAUUUUCAGAGCUUUUGGACAUUUGAGCAGCUCUUAGCAAAAAAGAUAGAUUGGUUUAGAACAGUACGCUUUUUAACAAUACGCUUUUUAACGGACCACAAAUUUGUUCUUUUUUGCCAAGAGCUACUCAUAUGUCCAAAUGAUUUGAAAUUUGGAGCGGACAUCAUGCACCAAAUUAUCUACCAUGUCAAAAAAAAUUGAAUUUUUGAAUUUUUCUAGUAUUUAUUUUGAUUUUUUUAUUCAACGCGGGUGCAGAUGAGCCGGAGAGCCAAAACGCCUCACUCAAUGUUCAUCCAUUUUUUUUUUUGAAAAUGUCCUUGUCAUCGCUCCCCCUUGAGCGCAUCGAGUUCGGCUGUGUGGGAGGACCCGAGCCAAUGGCGUGGGUGAGUCCGCCACCCAAGUCCCCCACCCCUGCUGCCAGACGCCGUGGUACUUCCCCUCUGCGGUUGGCACGACUAGGGAGGUCGAGGAAGCCGGGGAGGGGGGACGGGAGAGGUGGCAUCGUUGUGACGGCUUGAGGAGGAUUCGACCGAUCAGACAACAGGGACCUUCGGCCACCGCGUCCGGCCAUUGGGAGGAGAUGGGGGCGCCGAGGGGGGAGGGGAGGGCGCCGGUGGCAGGGAUGGGGGAGGAGGAGAGGCAGAAGAGGUUUUUUUUACUUGGUUGCCCUUUGCCAAGUGUCUCCUUGCAUAUUGUUGUCCCACCAAAAAAAGAAAACAAAAUUAUUGUAGCAAGCAUAAUCAAUCAGCCAAGGUUGCCUUGGAUCCUACUACCAUAUGAUGGAACCUCAGCUGCAAAAUUUCUACACCUCCUAACACUCAUUCAAAGCAG